UUCUUCGUUUAUCGAGGAGGAGUAGUUUUAGGUCAUUCUUUUGUGUGGCGUUUGAUUUCGCGUCUUGUCGACUGAUGUAUU
rnacentral:pre_miRNA from 1 species